rnacentral:rRNA from 1 species
UACGAAGGGGGCUAGCGUUGUUCGGAAUUACUGGGCGUAAAGCGCACGUAGGCGGAUAUUUAAGUCAGGGGUGAAAUCCCGGGGCUCAACCCCGGAACUGCCUUUGAUACUGGGUAUCUUGAGUAUGGAAGAGGUAAGUGGAAUUCCGAGUGUAGAGGUGAAAUUCGUAGAUAUUCGGAGGAACACCAGUGGCGAAGGCGGCUUACUGGUCCAUUACUGACGCUGAGGUGCGAAAGCGUGGGGAGCAAACAGG